GAUGAACGCUGGCGGCGUGCCUAACACAUGCAAGUUGAGCGAUCUUCUUCGGAAGAGAGCGGCGGACGGGUGAGUAACGCGUGGGUAACCUGCCUCAUACACAUGGAUAACACACCGAAAGGUAUGCUAAUACAAGAGGAUAUAAGAGAUUCGCAUGGAUUUCUUAUCAAAGCUCCGGCGGUAUGAGAUGGACCCGCGUCUGAUUAGCUAGUUGGUAAGGUAAAAGCUUACCAAGGCGACGAUCAGUAGCCGACCUGAGAGGGUGAUCGGCCACAUUGGAACUGAGACACGGUCCAAACUCCUACGGGAGGCAGCAGUGGGGAAUAUUGCACAAUGGGCGAAAGCCUGAUGCAGCAACGCCGCGUGAGCGAUGAAGGCCUUCGGGUCGUAAAGCUCUGUCCUCAAGGAAGAUAAUGACGGUACUUGAGGAGGAAGCCCCGGCUAACUACGUGCCAGCAGCCGCAGUAACAC
rnacentral:rRNA from 1 species